AGAAGUUAACACUGGUACAGUACUAUUAACUGAACAGAUUUUAUUUGGAUUUCAUCAGUUUUUCCACUCAUGUCCAUUUCCUGUUCCAGUAUCCAAUCCAAGAUCUCACAGUGAUUUAGUAUCUUGCAUUUCUUUUAAUUCUCUGAAUUCACUGGGCUCAUGCCGGCCUGUUUGCCUUGGAGCCUGCCAUUUUCUUUCUCACAGUAACUUUCCUGCUCACAGCAAAUUCUUAUUCAUCCUGCAGUAACCCUUUUUUUUGAGUCAAAAAUAAUGUGGGGAACUUGGUAGGAGUGGGAUUUGGGUAUCUGGCCCUUCACAGUACUGAGUGGGGGGAAAUGCCACUCCCCUUUCCACGCCCAGGAUCUCAUUUGACUCUCACUUGGGUUUUAUAUAUCCUUUACACAAAUGCAAACAAAUACUAACGCAUAUUACUACUCAUUCCCCCUUCUCCCAGCCGUGGUUACUCAAGGUCCACAGGUGACUUUCAUAGGACAGCAUAGUUGGCUGGUGGCAGAGGGGGAACCUGAACCCAAAGUCUCUGAGUUCCAGUUUCAUCGGCUGGCUGCCUGGAUCCUUCAUGCGUGGCCUGUCUCUGCUGUCCUCGGUUGUCCAAUCUGGAGGAGGAAAAUGGAGUCCCAGAGAGAUGAAUGAUCAAGCCAUAUGCCAGGAGCAGACUUGGGAAUCCUGUUGCUGAACUCAGCUGAGGUCAGAAACCUCAGUGAAGCUCCAUCCCUUUGAGAUGAUGAGGUGACACUUUAGUCAUCUGGUCCCAUUGAAAGGGCGGGCCUACGCCGGCCAACUCCAUCUUGUUCUGUGUCCUUCACCUUGACCACGCCUCCUCCCCUUGAGUAACCCCCCCCCCCCAACAAGUCUCGGACCCUUCCCCAGCCAAUUGGCUGAGGCCACAGCCAUUACCUCACCAACUGCCCCUAGGCCCCAAUAAAACCUUUGUCCUUUUGAUACUCGCUUUGUCCUUUUGAUACUCUCCCCGGUAUCUCACGGCUGUGUCGGUGCAGGUAGGGGAUUGAGCUCGAGCUAGCUCGAAUAAAGGCUCUUUUGCUUUUACAUCGGACUCGGCUCCCUGGCGGUAUUUGGGGAUCACAAAUUCUGGGCAUAACACCAUGGCCUCUGUCACUAGAGGUAACUUUGGAGGAAUCCCUUUCAGCCCUCUGGGCCCAGGUUCCUCAUCAUUUGAAUGGGGUUAGUCCUCACCUGUAAGCCUCAGUGGGCAAAUUGACAGGCCACACCCCCUUGCUCCCCCAAGGUGAGAUAAGUGUGGUAUUCCUGGCUGCCCAAGGACAAAAAAAAAAAAGGAAAGGGGAAAAACAAAUGGUUAACUGAUCAAGAUCAUAGUCCCACAGGACCUGAGUCUCCAUCUAUUGGCAAAUAUCUUAGUAAAUCACAAGAAAAAGGCAAUCUCAAUAGCCUAAUCUCCAGAAACCUAUAGACUCCUUCUCCUGGAGCCCCACUAUCACCCCUCCAUAGUGAUGUGGGAAACGAAGGCAGAAGGAAAUGGCAGAAAUAAAUGUCCUUAUAAUCUGCAGCCCAUUGACAAAUACUUGAGGCUGGCAGAGUAAAAAGUUUCUCCAGGAAUUCCCUACGGUCUGAAUGCUAAUGCUUUGCUAGAGGGAAAAACAACGUUAGCCUGACAAUAGCUAGGCCUCCACUAUCCUGGGAAUCUUCUUUAGCAUAUGAAAAUCUCCCUGGAAACUACCCCUGGACUUUAUGCCUCCUAACCCCUAACCCCGUAGUAUAAAACCAGUCUCUCCUCAUGGUCCCCUGGGCAGCUCUUUCUGCCCGCGGGUACUGUCCCCGUGCUUUAAUAAAAUCACCUUUUUGCACCAAA